rnacentral:misc_RNA from 1 species
GAACACCAAUCUCGCUGGUUUCACGGCCACUGCUGUCCCUUUUGGAGCUUCAAUUGUUGGCUGAUAAACCGCGUUUGGCUGACCCACAUUGGUCACAGUUCUGAUAAACGCCAUGCUUGUUGCUCCAACUGAUAAGCUUGGAAACAAUGCUGUAAUUGACGGAUAGUUGAGGUUCUCAGGUAAAGGCCUCUUCGCCGGACAAGUUACUGGUGAUCGCGUGAUCACCUGA